GGCUAGGUACCUUAGUUGGUAUAGCGCUUGUCAAGCAUACAAGAGUCCUGGGUUCCAAUCCCAGUCAAGCAC
rnacentral:tRNA from 1 species